rnacentral:rRNA from 1 species
AUUACCAAGAAAGUCACCUACACUCGGAAGCUAAGCAGGGUCGGGCCUGGUUAGUACUUGGAUGGGAGACCACCUAGGAAGACCAGGU